rnacentral:tRNA from 1 species
UCCCUGGUGGUCCAGUGGUUAAGACUUUGCGCUUACAACGCAGGGGGCCUGGAUUCUAUCCCUGGUCAGGGAA